ensembl:lncRNA
GAGUGACUUCACUUUCACUUUUCACUUUCAUGCAUUGGAGGAGGAAAUGGCAACCCACUCCAGUGUUCUUGCCUGGAGAAUCCCAGGGACGGGGGAGCCUGGUGGGCUGCUGUUUGUGGGGUCACACGGAGUCGGACACGACUGAAGCAGCAGCAGCAGCAGCAGCAGCAGCACAUAAGAAUCAGGUUCCUGGAACUUGCCUAAGAGGUAGAUAUUGAGAUUAUAGCCCUACAUAUCUAAUAGCAGGAACAUCUCCGUUUAUACCUUUUAUUACAUGCAGAAUGUUACAAGAAUUCUUGGAGUGAUAAAGUACCAGUCAUUGAAUAGAUUUAUUAUGCAUCAAUAUUUAAAAAUUGUCAUUGAGGUUCUGGGGCUAAUCCAACUUGUUCUGUAGCCUUGAAGUUUCUAGUUGAGAUGAGGAAGAUGGUAAUGUAAGAGAAGAAAAUUAAUGCUCUUGCUGAACUCUAAAAACUGCAUUUCAACAGUGAUUGGGAAGGUCUAUUAACAUUUAUACCAAUCUCAAGAAUUACCAAAAGAUAAAAAAAAGACUUCAGAUGUAUAAAUUAAGGCAGUAGGAUUAUAGACAUAGGUAAUUAAACUUUGAAUAAAAAAGAAAACAAAGAUAUAUUAAUUCACAUUUCAUACCUGAAGGAGAGAGAGGUCUGAGCAUACUGUGAGGGGAAGGAACAAAUCAUUUCAAAAAGACUGAAAAUACAGAAGAAACAAGAUUUUACCCUUAGUGCAUUUAUUCAACAUUCUGUUACUAUGUACCAGACAUUGGUCAUCUUGUUGCUAUUUUAAGACCAAUCAAUUCUUAGUACUUGGAAUUCUAAAGAGAGCAUAUCUUUCCCUUAGAUCCUUUCUAACUCAGAAUAUAUCAGAUAUCCUAGUACUUUUAAUAAACAUUCUAUUUACCCUGAAUUAAUUUCUGGACCCUACAAGGUUGGGUAUAACUCAGUUAUGAAAGGCAGCUAUGUCUUCUAAUUUAUUGUUGAUGUGAGUCUUUUAUGGUUCAUUAUGCUAAAUUGAUAUUCUUCAUAUUACUCAAUUAAUUCUGUAGCCCAACUGGAGAGAACUGGGGCUACUUCGACUUUUAAUGUCAGGGUGACAGAGGG